CUCUGAUGGGGUGUGCUCCCCACACUAGCCCUACAAGAGCUGAAUUAGGCCAGGUGGGCCCAAUCAGCUAAUUAGGCUACAAAGGAGGGAGCCUUAGGCUGGAGGCAGCUAAUUAGAGAGAAGCUCACCUGUGAGGGACAGGCAGGGCUUUUACAAAAGACAGGAAACUGGAAGCAGAGAAGGUAGUAGGGAGAAGGCUGGAGUGUUUGAGGUACUGUAGAGACAAGUUGCCUAAAGUCCCUUCCCGGGAGGAGGUAGUGAAAAGAUUGGCAUACCCAGAAGAGUGGAGAUGGCUAGGAGGUAUGGAAGCAGCUCAGGGAAAAGCAGUAAGGUGCAGGGGAUGGACCUCUAUGCACUCCACUCCUGCUCAAAAGGGGAGACCACAAUGGUGACUUGGCCAGAGGGCUGUAUCGUAAAGAGGAGAGCUGCAGUUCCUGAGAGGAGCUACUGAGGAGAAACUGACAGGGUGUAAAUGCUGGAAGGGGCACUGGCCUGAUUGCGCUAAUCCCAAGAACCAGCAGGAGGCACCACUAUCUAGUGGUUGGGCCAUGCUGCAUUCAUGUGUGUCCUGUACAUCUCUCUACUCCCUCAAACCUGCUGGUUCUUGGCCUGGAUCUAACACUUUUUGUUGAGACCACAAGACUGGAUGGAUCCCUUUCAUAAACACUGAGCUACAGGAAAGACUCUGGCUAGGCUGUGCUGCUUUAAGCCUGUCAUUAUUGCUCAACAUAUCUAUUUUAUUUGAAACUUCAGGUUUAAUUUGUCAGAAGAAAGUUUGCCCUCAAUGAUCUCAAAGUGUGUGGCAACCACUAAUGAACUGAGCCUCAUCUCCCUGCUGUGAGAAGUAAGCUUCACCCUUUCUAAGAUGUGGAAUUGACACUGAAGCCUAAAUGACUUUCCAAGACUAUGGCAGAGCCAGCAAUAGAAUCCAAAUAUCCUAACUCCAGCUCCUGUGCCUCAGCCUGUCUUUCUUCCUAUUCCCUUCUCAAACCAAGGGUCCAGAGAAGAUAUGCCUCAGCUGAAAGAGGGUGCAGGGGUUCAGAGUCAAAGUGUACUUAGA